AUUGAACGCUAGCGGGAUGCUUUACACAUGCAAGUCGAACGGCAGCGCGGACUUCGGUCUGGCGGCGAGUGGCGAACGGGUGAGUAAUGUAUCGGAACGUGCCCAGUAGCGGGGGAUAACUACGCGAAAGCGUAGCUAAUACCGCAUACGCCCUACGGGGGAAAGCAGGGGAUCGUAAGACCUUGCACUAUUGGAGCGGCCGAUAUCGGAUUAGCUAGUUGGUGAGGUAACCGCUCACCAAGGCGACGAUCCGUAGCUGGUUUGAGAGGACGACCAGCCACACUGGGACUGAGACACGGCCCAGACUCCUCCGGGAGGCAGCAGUGGGGAAUUUUGGACAAUGGGGGCAACCCUGAUCCAGCCAUCCCGCGUGUGCGAUGAAGGCCUUCGGGUUGUAAAGCACUUUUGGCAGGAAAGAAACGUCGCGGGCUAAUACCCCGUGGAACUGACGGUACCUGCAGAAUAAGCACCGGCUAACUACGUG
rnacentral:rRNA from 1 species